rnacentral:rRNA from 1 species
GUUCGGAGCAUCUGAGUGGCUAAGCGAAAGUGAUAAGUAUCCCACCUGGGGAGUACGUUCGCAAGAAUGAAACUCAAAGGAAUUGACGGGGGCCCGCACAAGCGGUGGAGCAUGUGGUUUAAUUCGAUGAUACGCGAGGAACCUUACCAAGGCUUAAAUGUAGAUUGACGUAUUUGGAAACAGAUAUUUCUUCGGACAAUUUACAAGGUGCUGCAUGGUUGUCGUCAGCUCGUGCCGUGAGGUGUCAGGUUAAGUCCUAUAACGAGCGCAACCCCUGUUGUUAGUUGCCAGCGAGUCAAGUCGGGAACUCUAACAAGACUGCCAGUGUAAACUGUGAGGAAGGUGGGGAUGACGUCAAAUCAUCACGGCCCUUACGCCUUGGGCUACACACGUGCUACAAUGGCCGGUACAGAGAGCAGCCACUGGGCGACCAGGAGCGAAUCUAUAAAACCGGUCACAGUUCGGAUCGGAGUCUGCAACUCGACUCCGUGAAGUUGGAAUCGCUAGUAAUCGGAUAUCAGCCAUGAUCCGGUGAAUACGUUCCCGGGCCUUGUACACACCGCCCGUCAAGCCAUGGAAGCUGGGGGUGCCUGAAGUCGGUGACCGCAAGGAGCUGCCUAGGGUAAAACUGGUAACUAGGGCUAAGUCGUAACAAGGUAGCCG